AGUGAACGCUGGCGGUAGGCCUAACACAUGCAAGUCGAACGGCAGCACAGUAAGAGCUUGCUCUUACGGGUGGCGAGUGGCGGACGGGUGAGGAAUACAUCGGAAUCUACUUUUUCGUGGGGGAUAACGUAGGGAAACUUACGCUAAUACCGCAUACGACCUACGGGUGAAAGCAGGGGAUCUUCGGACCUUACGCGAUUGAAUGAGCCGAUGUCGGAUUAGCUAGUUGGCGGGGUAAAGGCCCACCAAGGCGACGAUCCGUAGCUGGUCUGAGAGGAUGAUCAGCCACACUGGAACUGAGACACGGUCCAGACUCCUACGGGAGGCAGCAGUGGGGAAUAUUGGACAAUGGGCGCAAGCCUGAUCCAGCCAUACCGCGUGGGUGAAGAAGGCCUUCGGGUUGUAAAGCCCUUUUGUUGGGAAGGAAAAGCAGCAGGUUAAUACCCCGCUGUUCUGACGGUACCCAAAGAAUAAGCACCGGCUAACUUCGUG
rnacentral:rRNA from 1 species